UACGGUAUGGAGGGACGAUUUGGGUGACAUCUGAGACGCAGCCGCACAUCAACAAGCGUCCGGGCUCCAGGGACAUGGCGGCAGCCUCUGUGGUGUCGGUGCUGCUGGUGGCGACUGAGAGGAACCAGUGGCAGCCAGUCCAGAGCCCGCUGCUGCUGCCGCUGCCGCUGCCGAGGCAACGAUCCAAAAGGUAGUUCUGGCACUUGGAUACUACUACCUUGGAGCAACUUGUCAUGCCUGCAUUGUGUGGAACCAGUGUUCAAAAUAAAAUGCAAAAACUUCAGGCUGGUGGAGGAGGGAGCACACAGCAUCCUGGUACUCCAGGGAGACCAUUUGAUAUGUUAAAUAGAAUAUAUCAUUGUUGUGUUGCUUUCUGCCUUAAUGCCAAUUGAUAUGCUGAAGACCUCAAAAAGUUCCUGAGAAAUCCAUUUCAAAUUCUAGUGAAGAAAGAAGAACUGACCUUUGAAAAGAAUUGGCAGCAGGAGUCAAUUUGGGAGGAAGGCUGUGGCCAUAAACAUUGAAGAAGACAAGAAGAUUCUUUGUGACACUGAGCCUUUCUGCCAUACUACACUGGAGGAAAUGCCAAUGAAUGUGGCUGACCUAAUUUAAUUCCUGGGAUGAAAUGGUUUUGAAUGUAGUGCUUGCUGUUGGUGAAUAGGCAAUCACAAGGUGCACUGUGCUUCUUUUGGGGGAAAUAUUUGAAGCUUUGUCUCAAUGCUCAUAACAGAUCAAAAAUAUAGAUUUUGAUAGCAAAGCAACUUCAGCCAUGAGCUCAUGUGAGGAAAGUCAUUGGCUUUACCCUCUUUAGAAUUAGACUGUUGGGGUGGCUAUAAAAGAUGGGGUUGUACCCAAUUGAAAAAUGGGCAGAAGACCUAAAUAUACAUUUCUCCAAAGAAGACAUACAGAUGGCCAACAGGCAAAUGAAAAAAGUCUCAACAUUGCUAAUUAUCAGAGAAAUGCAAAUCAAAACUACAAUGAGAUACUGCCUCACACCAGUCAGAAUAGCCAACAUUAAAAAGUCUACAAAUAGCAAAUGCCGGAGAGGGUGUGGAGAAGAGGGAACCCUCUUACACUGUUGGUGGAAAUGUUAAUUGGUGCAGCCACUAUGGAGAACAGUAUGGAGGUUCCUCAAGAAACUAAAAAUAGAAUUACCAUAUGAUCCAGCAAUCCCACUCCUGGGCAUAUAUCCAGACAAAACUAUAAUUCAAAAAGAUACAUGUGGGGCUUCCCUGGUGGCGCAGUGGUUGAGAAUCUGCCUGCUAAUGCAGGGGACACGGGUUCGAGCCCUGGUCUGGGAAGAUCCCACAUGCCACAGAGCAACUGGGCCCGUGAGCCACAACUACUGAGCCUGCGCGUCUGGAGCCUGUUCUCCGCAACAAGAGAGGCCGCGAUAGUGUAAGGCCCACGCACCACGAUGAAGAGUGGCCCCCGCUUGCCACAACUAGAGAAAGCCCUCGCACAGAAAUGAAGACCCAACACAGACAAAAAUAAAUAAAUAAAAUUAAAUUAAAUUUUAAAAAAAAGAUAGCAUCAUGUAAUGGCAAUUCUAUAAAUCUGGGUUUAAAAAAAAAAAAAAAAAGAUACAUGCACCCCUAUGGUCAUAGCAGCACUAUUCACAAUAGCCAAGACAUGGAAACCACCUAAAUGUCCACCUAGAGAUGAAUGGAUAAAGAAGAUGUGGUACAUAUAAUACAAUGGAAUACUACUCAGCCAUAAAAAGAAUGAAAUAAUGCCAUUUGCAGCAACAUGGAUGGAACUGGAGAUUAUCAUACUAAGUGAAGUCAGAAAGAGAAAGAAAAAUACCAUAUGAUAUCACUUAUAUGUGGAAUCUAAAAUAUGACACAAAUGAACCUACCUACGAAACAGAAACAGACUCACAGACAUAGAGAACAGACCUGUGUUUGCUAAGGCAGUGGGGGUGGGGAGAGGAGAGAUGGAGUGGGAGUUUGGGGUUAGCAGAUGCAAACUAUUAUAUACAGGAUGGAUAAACAACGAGGUCCUACUGUAUAGCACAGGGAACUAUAUUCAACAUCCUGUGAUAAAACAUAAUGGAAAAGACUAUGAAAAAGAAUACAUAUAUAUGUAUAACUGAAUCACU